rnacentral:rRNA from 1 species
AACGAACGCUGGCGGCAGGCCUAACACAUGCAAGUCGAACGCCCUAGCAAUAGGGAGUGGCAGACGGGUGAGUAACGCGUGGGAAUAUCCCCCUCAGUACGGAAUAGCCCAGGGAGACUUGGAGUAAUACCGUAUACGUCCGUGAGGAGAAAGAUUUAUCGCUGAGGGAUUAGCCCGCGUCGGAUUAGCUAGUUGGUGAGGUAACGGCUCACCAAGGCGACGAUCCGUAGCUGGUUUGAGAGAAUGACCAGCCACACUGGGACUGAGACACGGCCCAGACUCCUACGGGAGGCAGCAGUGGGGAAUCUUGGACAAUGGGCGCAAGCCUGAUCCAGCCAUGCCGCGUGAGUGACGAAGGCCUUAGGGUUGUAAAGCUCUUUCGCCGGGGACGAUAAUGACGGUACCCGGAGAAUAAGUCCCGGCUAACUUCGUGCCAGCCGCCGCUGUAA